GAGUCCAGGACAUGUCAGGCUGAAGCUUGAAUGCGCCAAGAAACGGAUGAGGGCAGCUUGGUCCCCACUCCUUCAAAGGAAAUUGGAAAACAGGAAACGCAUUGGGGUGUCGCGUCUGUAACUUAGCAACAACUGAACCGAUGACUUCACAUCCUUUGUCGGCAACAGCUGGGGGUGAAAUGUAAGCGGCUGCUAAAACAACACUGAACUCUCCUGUGGCCCCCCGUCAGCAGCCGCGGGCUCGGAACCCUGAUGACUUCAUAAUAUCUGGGUUCGGAGUCAGAACAGCUGGGAGUCCAUGGUGAUCCAGGCUUGUGUAACCACUUUGUCACCGCCUUUCAAAGACACGCUCACAUUCGGCGCAGAAUAAAUGUUUUCGUCAUGUUUCGCACUAGAACCGAACUAUUUUCAACCUGCCUCCCUUCCUCCGGCCAAACGCCGGUGGUUCCCGGCUGCUGCCUCCGACCGCCUGGCGGAGAACUACGGGUUUAGCUUCUGUCAUUAGCAGCAGCAACAUAGAUAUAGAUACAUAGAUGUUGCCUCGACGGCUGCCGGUUUUUUUUUUAAUGUAAACACGGGAACUUGUCUUGUCUCCAAUCACUCCGUUUUCAACCUGCUUGAUUUGUUACAACUUCAGGCGCGUUUCAUGUCAAAUUCUAAUAAGAACUGAAAGAAUAAGAAACAAAUGUAGCCAGAUCUAUGUUCCACUCAUGUCUAUGUUGAAUUAACCUUCUAGGCUUUUGUGCACAAAGAAUUAUAUUCGGUUGCACUCGCUCACAACAUAGACAUUAAACAGAUGUAAACCUCGAAAUGAUAGAAAACAGUUUUGUAUUU